UACGAAGGGGGCUAGCGUUGCUCGGAAUCACUGGGCGUAAAGCGCACGUAGGCGGCUUUCUAAGUCAGGGGUGAAAUCCUGGAGCUCAACUCCAGAACUGCCUUUGAUACUGGAGAGCUCGAGUCCGGAAGAGGUGAGUGGAACUCCGAGUGUAGAGGUGAAAUUCGUAGAUAUUCGGAAGAACACCAGUGGCGAAGGCGGCUCACUGGUCCGGUACUGACGCUGAGGUGCGAAAGCCAGGGGAGCAAACGGG
rnacentral:rRNA from 1 species